CAACUCUGCAGCUGAUUGACAAUUAUAUAUUUUUUAUGUGGUUGAUGGAGAUAAAAAGAAAAGUUAAAAAGUGCAGAAAUUUUAGAAUUAAAAAUUUAAUAGAAAACGGGAAAAUGCAAAUCCACAAUGAAUAAUCAAUACCUAGUUUUCCUCUAACAAUAAAACCAAUUAAUACGUGUUAAUUAUUAACAAACGAGCACUGGAAACAAGUCGAAAAACACCGAGAGUGUGUGUCAAACGUAGAAGAAAAAAACAUCAAUUUUUUUUCUCAUUGACGGACAAGUAACAAGAUAAAUGUGAAAAAAUGUAAAAAUAGAUUGCAAAACAAGCCCAAGAGCAAAACUAGAAAUGUGUUAAGAGAAUUUGAAGAAAAUUCUAAGCCGAGUUUUUGUGGAAAAUUACGCAAAAAUUUACUAUAUAUCUCCACACCCACUUAUCGGAACCCGUGAAAAAACAACAACAACAAAAUAUAGAAAACAAGAUUCCUUUGGUCAUGUGUGAGUGUGUGUGUUGUGUGAUGGAUGAUUUUUCUCCCCACUUCUACUCAAUAAUGUGUGCUGCGUAAGCCAAAGUAUGUGUGUGUAAAUGCAAUUUUUUCUAUUUAGCUGCUAUCACAGAUUAAUUAUAAUUAUCUGGAAAGAAAAAAACAUAAAAAGCAGAUUAGUAAGCUUCUAAAAUGCAAAAUAAUAUAAUAUGUCAAUAAAAAUUGUAAAAGCCAACUCCCUUUGAAUAGCGAAGUGGCCAAGAGAAAGAAAAGAAAAAAAGGCAUCUAUUGAACACAAACAAAAACAAAUCCAAACGGCCCAUCAAGCAAAUACCGAUCGAAACCAACUACAAAAAGUUGCUGACGGCGAACAAGAGAAAAACAACAGAACCUAAGAAGUCGCAAAAGUACGAAGGUGGACUAGGUAUCAUAUUUUUCCCCUCUAAAUAAAAGUUGCCGUAAUGGCAACGCAACUGGAUCCUAAUGUCAAAGAUGACCUGAAGACACAGUUUAUAACACGAGAGGGUACCUAUCGACUUCUUACCCUCUCCGAGUACUCACGACCCAAUCGUGUGGGCUAUACCAAUAAUCAGAGUUCACCACAAGUGCGAGUUUCGAUAGUUACCUUGCCAAAUCCACCGGCUGGCGCUGCUAGUAAUGGUAAUGGUGGUUCCUUGGCGGGGGCCGGCUCUUCUGCGAAUCCUGUAAAUGGUACAAAUGGUCGAAACGUCAACGUAAGCAAUUCAUCAUCAUCAACAGCGACCACAUCUUCAAAUGGAGCUGGUGGCAAUAAUAAUAGUUCAGCAAAUGGUGGUGAUACCUAUGAUGUUGGCCUGCAAUCGUCAUCGUCACUGAAUGGACCGGUAUUAUCAUCGCAAUCCCAGUAUGUUGUACCCUCAUCAAUGGAUGCACGUUUGGGUGCCGGCAUGUCAAUGCACACCAUGAUGAAUGGGUCCGGUGGUGUGGGCGGUGGUGCCAAUGGUGGUAUCGAUCAGAAUGGUAUGCCUGUAAACCAGGUGUUGGGUGGUGAUCGCAUAUGUUUCAAUUUCGGCCGAGAAUUAUAUGUAUAUGCAUUUCGUGGUGUAAAGAAGGGUGCCGAACUAAGUAAGCCAAUUGAUAGGAAAUUCUACAAAGGUACCAAUCCCAGCUGUCAUGAUUUUAAUGCCACCACAGCAACACCUACUGGCGCGCCUUUACUGGUGGGCUUUACAACGGGACAAAUACAAUUGGUUUCACCACAGCCAGGACCACGUGAAUAUCGAAAACUUUACAAUGAAGAUCGUCUUAUUGACAAAACCAAAGUGACCUGCUUAAAAUGGCUGCCAAAUUCACCAAAUCUCUUUUUGGCCUCACACGCGUCGGGACACCUGUAUCUAUACAACGAGAAUCUACAAUGUCCACCGACGGCGCCCGUCUAUCAGUCCUUCAAAAUGGGCGAUGGCUAUUCAAUACUAACCUGCAAAUCGAAAUCGAGUAGAAAUCCUCUCUACAAAUGGGUUUUCAACACCGAGAACUGUUGUAUAAAUGAGUUUUGCUUCUCACCAUGUGGUUCAAAUUUAGCAAUAGUAUCUCAAGAUGGCUUUCUCAGAGUGUUUCAUUAUGACACAAUGGAAUUGUUGGGUAUAGCGCGUUCCUAUUUUGGUGGUUUUUUAUGUGUAUGCUGGUCACCGGAUGGCAAAUAUAUUGUGGUGGGUGGGGAAGAUGACUUAGUCACAGUGUGGUCAUUUCAUGAGCGACGGGUUGUGGCCCGAGGUCAGGGUCACAGAUCGUGGGUUUCAGUGGUGGCUUUUGACCCAUACACCACUUCAUAUACCUCGUGGGAUGGUGGAGACUUUUCGGAUGAUGAGAAUCAAAUAAUGGAGUAUUCAACGGCAGGAUCACGAUAUGCGGGUGAUCAGUCGUCGGCAGUGAAUGGUUACGAUUCGUAUGGUGGAGCUGCGGGUGGUCACGAUAAAAACUCAACGCCCAUUCACACACGACAGAGGCCCCAGUCGGCGUCAUUUCGUUCGGAGGCCUCUUCAUUGGCUCCAGAUAAAUUAGCCAUAAGUUAUCGUUUAGGUUCUGUUAGUCAAGACACUCAAAUAUGUUUGUGGGACAUCACCGAGGAUAUACUAAGGCAUCCUUUGUCCCUGCGCCAGCGUGUGAAUAGUUCUAAUUUGAACGACUCUAGUUUUAUGAAUGGCGGCACAGACGCCGAUGGUGUGAAAGUCAUACGACCAGUGGCCAUAGGCCAUCCUAACUUCCCCCAGCCACAGCACUGUAGUAGUCCUACCAAAGAUAUGCAGACCAGCAAUAUAACGACCACACCACAGACAUCAGCAGCUUCAGGAGAACAAAAUAGUAAUAGUAGUUCUAGUAAAUUUUCCACAGCCAAUUGUACGAUAUCAUCGCAAUCUUCUAAUGCCAAUACGCCACCCGACGAUAGCUCGGUAACGGCGUCCACGUCGACAAAAGCCAAUUCGAAAGCGAUUUCAAAUGCCAUUAGUAGCAGUGGUGGCGGUGGAGGGUCAAUAAAAUUUCCUAAUUGCAUAACAACCACUAAGUCGGACUCAAUAGAUGGUAACAUAACUGGAAAUCAUGUCAACACACUCUCUUCAUCAUCGGGCUACAAUAGCAAAACAUCGAACAGCAGCAAAUCUUCAGAUUCGGGAAUGUCGGCAUUCAACUCGCUAACCCAACGUCUAUCAAAUUUCUCAUUUCUCAACUCAUCCGACAAGAAAUCUCUAAAUCUAGAGGGUGGCAGUACACGGGCGAAUCGUCGCACCCUAAGUCUACUCAAAUCGUAUAAUCAUCGUAAUUCCUCCACACUAAAUCAUCAUCAUCAUCAUAGCAAUCACCAGCAUAUGGCAAAUUCAACACAAAUUGAAACAAAUGCAAAUUCAACGUCAACAUCGUCGCACAGUUUCGGUUCUCUCAAGCUGGGCAAAUCGUCGUCGUCACAUCAACAUCACCACAAUUCAUUGUCACACAACAUGUCGAAUUGCUCGCCAUCGUCAACAACCAAUUCAAUUAUAACAUCAUAUGACCCACUGAAAUUGAUUGGUACACCAGCGUGUCCCCGUUUCGAUGAGUGUCCACUGUUGGAGCCGUUGGUGUGCAAAAAGAUCGCUCAUGAGCGUUUGAGUGCAUUAAUAUUUCGUGAAGAUUGUUUUCUAACGGCAUGUCAGGAUGGAUUUAUUUAUACAUGGGCUAGACCGGGUUAUUCAACGAAUGUUCCGCAACAUUUAUCGCCAACGCAAACAGCACCGCCCGGCGGUACGGUAAUAUAGUUCGAUAAAAUUAAUAUAAAACAGUAUCAUAAGAAUUUAGAGAAAUUAAAUCACUAUACUCCAAGUCAUCCUACAAUUACUACUUCUACUGUUAGUACUAUAAUCACUUCUACUACUACUACUCCCUCCUGUACUACUCUUGUAACAACAACAACAACAACAGCAGCAACUACUAUGGUAACUUUAGCGCCAACAACAACAACAAAUAUUCUCUGUUUAACCACAGGUGAGCAAAGAGUGUAAAAACAAAAGAAAUCUGAUGAUAAUAUUAUUUAGGAAACAAAAAAUAAAAAUGGUUUUUAUAAAAAACUUUUUUUAUACAAUUCCUUUAUUUUUGAUAUGUAAAAAAAACGAAACUAAUAAUAACAACAAAAUGCAUAUUAUUACAUAACAAUAAAAGGCAUAAAUAUGCAUCAUAAACCAAUUAACCGAGAAAAUAAUAUGUUAUAGCCUCUUCUCUCAUACCCUACUUUCUUAUUAGUUUUUUGUUAAAUAUUUUUAAAAAGUUAAUACAUAAAUAAUAUUAAAUAACAACAACAAGUUUAUAGUAAUAUUAAAACAUAAAUUAAAUAAAUUACAAAAUAAGUAAACAAAACCUACAAAAAUAAUAUUUUUUUCAUAAAUUUAUUUCUAAAGCAAAAGUGUAUAGUAAUUUUUUUGGAAUGGAAAUAAUCGUUAGCCCAUGAAUGAGUGAAUGAAUGAAAUUAUGUAGUCAGAGACUCAUGUUGUAUAUAUAUAUAUUUUUUUUUUGUUUUAAUUUGCUUUCCAGACUUUGAGAUAAUUGAAAAUACGCGUUAAUAUUCCGUAAAAUGUGAAUUUUAAAACAAAACAUGUUGUGAUAACUUUAGUAGUGUUAUAUAACUGUUUUCAAUGUUUCGAAAAUUUAAAAUAUGUAUGUUUUAUCUUUAAGGAGGAUAUUUUAGCUAAAAAAAAAUAAUUUGUAUGGCGAAUAAGGAACCGUUUUUGUCCCUGCUGACAACAUUUUGAGGUUUCAGAUUUACUACAUAAAUGAAUUAAGAUUUGUAAAUAUUUUCAAGUAUUGCUCAACAUGUCUAAGGGAAAACAAGUAAGCAACAGCUAUAGUUGUGCGGGGCCGACCAUGUGAUACCCUACAGCCCUCCGCCGUGUUGUUAGUUGUUGUGGUCCAUUUUAUAGCUGAAUAUAAUCCAAUGGUCAUCCAAAAUUCUAGAAUUUCUCUCUUCUGAGGCGUGUCGACGAUUGGCUUCAAUUGUGUGAUCAGAUUUUUUUCUCUUUUUGGUUCAUUUUAACCCCUAAAUAUUUUGCGAUCAUCUCCAAAAGCAAGAGGCCCAUCUGUAUCUCCAAAUUUAGACUCAUCUAUUUGAUUAAUUUGUCUACGAUAUUUGGCUACAUUCGUCAACGAAAUCAGCAUAAAAAGCCAGAUGUUCGCCUUUUGUGUAUUUCGGAUAUCGCCUGUAAGUAAUGUUGGUAUUUUUUCACACAAAAGUAGUGGUCCAUUCUAGCCGCUGUCCUAAACUCUAACUUAAUGCGAGAUUUCGUAUCCUUUGGUUUUUAUUUGCGACUUUUAUAACGGCUGCAAACUCAGGAACAUUUCAGUUUGCCAAAAUCGGUCCAGCCAUUCUUGAGAUAUAAGCAUUCUAGCUAACAUCUCCUUACUUUGUAUAUACACAUUGUAUAUAUUUCGCUAUAUAUCCGAUAUAUUUACUAUCGGCAUCUACGUAACGGUCAGAAUUCACCUUUCCGUCUAUUUGUGUUUUUGGUGGUAUUAAAAAUAUUCGCGGUUUAAUGGGAAAUUUGACUGGUACACAAAUGUUAUGGUCUAUUUCACCCAAUAAAUAUUACCCGAUGACCAUCAUUGGAAGGCUGCUGAACAACCCUAAGCUCAAUCACAUUCUGAGUCAAUUUAUGCAUGUCCGUCCGUCUGACUGUCCGUCUGUCCAUGUAUUUUUGUAAACAAAGUACAGGUCGCAUUUAUUGCCCGAUUCAGAUAAAAUUUUGCACAAAUAAUUGUUCCAAGGACGAACCCUAUUGAAAUUGUAUGGAUUUGCAUAUAUGACCAGAUUGGACCUGAAAAUAAGUAUGCUAAAUUUGAUCGAAAUCGGUUCAUAUAUAGAUAUAGCUCCCAUAUAUAUUGUUUAUUUUUCGUCCUCCGCAGCCGUAGUAUGCACUCUGUAACAACGAUAUUUGGGGAAAUAUAUCAAAUAGAACUCAGAAAUACCCUUAUUCAAUUUUAUGGAGAUCGGUUAAUAUUUGAAUAUAGCUCCCAUAUAUAUCCUCGUCCGAUUUGCUUUUUAUUGUGCACCAAACGUGUAAUAUUAGCCCAAAUGGAAUGGAAUUUUGUAUUUACGACCGAAUUGAGUCUAGAAACCAGUAUGUCAACUUUGGUGGAAAACGGUUCAGAUAUAGCUAAAGCUCCCAUACAUAUUGUUCAUCCGAUUUGUUGAAUUUGCCCUGCAUAGCCGUAAUAUGGAUUCCGUAGUGACAAUAUUCGGGAAAUAUAUCAAAUACAGCUCAGAAAUACCUUUGCCAAAUUUUAUAGAGAUCGGUUCAGAUAUAGCUCUCAUAUAUAUCUAUCCGAUUUCAGGUUAAUUGUGCACCAACUGGAUAAUACAAGCCUGAAUUGAAAAGGAGGAUAUUCCUCCUAUAUAUUACUUCCUUUACUAUAAAAUAUAUAAAUACUAUAAAUUAUUACUAUAAUCAUAGUUGGUAUGAUUUAACUCUCACAAAUUCGCCAUUAAAACUUUUAUUUGUUAUGUGAAGCUCUACUAAAUAUGCAAAGUGGUGUAGUGUAUUAUAAAGUCGGCACGCCCGACUUUAAUACUUUCUUUACUGGUUUUAAUUCGAGAUUCGCUGAAAAUUUUGGAAGAUCAACAAAACUUCUUCAUAAGAGGAGCGAGGGGGGAGUUUCCUCUUGGCAUAUUUUUUUACAUGCAUAAUUUUUUGUGUAUCUGAAAAAUUAUUUCGCCAAAAAAAACAUUACAAAUUAAUCUAAAUUUUAAAAAUUAUCAGUGUAUUUGAAUGCUUUUAACUAUUUCGAGCCUAUAUGGGGGCUAUAAGCUAUAUAAGGUCAAAUUAAAUGACUAUAAAAUGUAUUUAUUUAGUAUUUGGAAGUUGUUAAAUCUACUAUAUUUAAAAAACAGUUAUAUAUUUUAAACAGCAAAAGAAAAGUUUGUUAGACUUGAACAUUUGAAAGGUUUCUCAAAAGAAAAUAAAAACUGAAUCUCAAAUUGUUUAUGUUUUGGAAAUAAUUUCAGUAAUUAAUUAUUUUUUUGGAGUUCACCAAAGAUUUGUAUUGUUUGUAAAAAUUACAAGGAUAGCAGCCUUUAUGAUUCUUAAUUUAAAAAAUAAUUAUUAUUAUUCAUAUAUUAUAUCAUAUUACGAUUAUUCAAGAAAAUAUGUGUUAUGUAUAAAGAAAAAAUAUUACAAUAUUUACUUCCUAAAUAAUUUUGCCUUAUAGUUAAUUUAUCCAUUUAUUAUAAGUUAACACUUUUUAAAAUAAAAAACCUAAAAAAUAAUAAAAACAAAUCAAAAUAAAUCUUUUUUAAAUACAGCGUGUUCCCAAUUUAUUAUUACAAAAAAAAAGAAACAUGAAAAGAAAACUUGUAAAUGUUAAAUGAACAAUUCAACUAUAAAUUGAUAUCAAAUAAAAUAUAUAUAAAAAACAAAACUACUGUUAUAUAACAACUACCAUCUUUAAAAGCUAAGAAAAAAAAACAAAUAAAUAUAUUUAAAUGUUAUUACAACAUACAACAAAAAUGAAUCAUUCAAGUUUUGGAGCAAGUAACACAAAGCAAUACUCGUGGAAGAACAAUCUUUAUUGAAAAGAAUUUACAUUCUAAAGAAAACCAACCAACAAAGAUUAGCCCCUUUUGCCGAAAACCCUACCCAUGUAUUUGCAAUUAUAAAUUGUUUUUUAAUUUUUUUUUUAUUUUUGUUUAACCUCUUUAAUGUAUUUUAUAAAAAGAGAUUUUUUAUUAUAUGUAUAUGAUUUUAGUAUUAAUGCAUCGUAAUUGACAUUGUUUGUUCCCAUAGUGAAAUUGUUUACUUAGUUUUUAAGUUUUAAAACACACAUAUAUUUCAAAUUUAAUGCAAAGAGUUAAUAGGGAUCCGAACGUUUUACUGUGACAAUUUGAUCUUUGAUUAGCCUUACACUCCUUGCAAUAUGUGUUUCAUACACAUCUCGGAGAAUUAUCGGAAUGUUCCUAUCUGUUGAUAUAGUCCAUUGGGGUUGAGCAGACCGUCGUCAUGCCGAAGUUUGUAUUUAUGUUGUGAGCGAUAUGAGCUAAUUACUCUUAAUUAUGACUUCUAUUUUACAUAAAAACUUAUUUUCCCCAUGGCGACUAAUUUUCAAAUGGAACUCUCUGCUUUACCUCCAGAAUACUACAAUGUCAGUUAGAAAGGCACGCUCGAAUUCGUACAACAUUAUUUCCCCUAUUAAUCCAAAAAAAAGUGAACGGAAAAUCAGUAAAAAUUUCAAAAUUAAUUGCAAUCCUUCAAACAGUUUUUGUCCUAUGGCUGGUGCGCACGGUAACUCUCGAAUGGAGUAUCCGAAUUGGUCCAAACUUGGUACAUCGUAAUAUUAUUAUCAAACUUAGAUCGAGUUCGAAGAUGGUCAUUAUCGGUCCAUUCCUUCUGAUACCUCUCCCACAAAAAGAGAAAUGAUCAUUCAAUUUUGUGAAAAUUUUGAAAAUCCCACUAUUUGUAUUAGUGCUAGCAGCUGCGAGAAGGGAAAAAUUUUAAAUAAUUAUAACUCUUAUUAAAAUGUGAAAUAAAAGUCCGAGUAUCUUCAAAUUUCGCACAUCUCAAUAUUUCCACUAAAAUAAGGUUUGAUGUGGAGAUCGUAGAUAUCGGCUCACUUCUUCUGGUACCUUCUUCACAGAGGUUAAAAAUAUUCAAUAAGUUUGGAUAUCAUAAAACUGAAAUGAGUAUCCGAUUCCUUUUAAACUCGGCACAUCCCAACAUUUCUAUGAACAAAAGAUCGGGUGUGAAGAUGGAAUACAGGGUGAUAUAAAAGAACUGCAACAAAGUUAAACGGCAUUAUUUUUACAUUUUUUUUAAAUUUUAUUGAAUGAAAGCAAAAAUGUCGGAAAAAGCAUCAAAUUUUAGAAUAUGUUUUCACACACUGCCCGAUUGUUGCUCUGCAGUAUUUUGGCCCAUUCCCGGCGAUGAACUUGAUUGUGGUGAUCGACACUUUUGUAUUUUUUAGUGCCAACCUUGCUUUCCAAAAUACUACAGACACAAUAGUCCAACGGAUUGGUAUCCGGAGAUUUUUGUGGCCAUUGUGCGCCACUAUUCUUGGGUGGCGCGCGCUGAGGGCGAUGGUGCUGAGUCCUGUUGAAAUGUCCAACGUCUGCGGACAAAAUUUUUGUGUGCCUAAGGCUUUAAUAUACCCUCCAAAAUAUUUUCGCGAUAA